GGGCUGCAGUAUUUUGACUGUACAAAGGUAGCAUAAUCAUUAGUCAUUUAAUUGGUGACUUGUAUGAAAGAUUGGAUGAAAUAUAAACUGUCUCUUAAUUAAAUUAUAGAAUUUAAUUUUUUAAUUAAAAAGUUAAAAUAAAUUAAAAAGACGAGAAGACCCUAUAGAGUUUUAUAUUUAAAUUAAUUAAGAUUAUUUAUAUAUUUAUUAAUUAAAAUUAUCUUAAAUAUUUUGUUGGGGUGACAAAAAAAUAUAAUUAACUUUUUUUAUAGUUUUACAUAUAUAAGUGAAUUAUUGAUCCAAUAAUAUUGAUUAUAAGAAAAAAUUACCUUAGGGAUAACAGCGUAAUUUUUUUUUUUAGUUCAAAUAAAAAGAAGAGUUUGCGACCUCGAUGUUGGAUUAAGAUAAAAUUUAAAUG
rnacentral:rRNA from 1 species